CCUUUCUUUUCCUCUACUUUUUUUCUCCCUUCCUCCCAUCCAUCUUCCUUGCCUCCCGCUCGUUCCUCACUGCCUUGCCUUCUCUCCUUUUCCAUUUCCUUUUCUUUCUUUCCUUUCAUUCCAUCAUUCAUUAUUCUUUCUGUCCCUGUCUCCUUCCUUUGCCCCCUCCCUUCCUACCUUUCUUAAUUGUAGCAAAUAUUUUUUAAAGUUUAGUUUGCAAGUUUGAUAGCUUGAGUUCAAAUCCUGGUUGUGUCAUUCCCUAUCUGUAUGACCUUAGAUACAGCAAUGACUGUGACCAAUGUAAUUAACAAGCCCAUGGAGUUUAUAAUAGGCCUGUCAAGAAAACUGAGGCAUGCAGCUAGUAAGUGGCAGAACCAAGGUUUCAAUUUGGACCUUGUUUUCAAGGAUUUCAUCAAAUGGUCUGCUGCACUGUGCUGGAAUUUUGAACUCCCCAGAGUAGUAAACAACAUCUUCUCAAGGGUAUACAAAUCAUCAGAUAGAGAAAACACCCAUUAUAGAGCUGUGGAGCCCUUACGAUAUAGUGCUAUGCUGC
rnacentral:lncRNA from 1 species